rnacentral:misc_RNA from 1 species
AUUGGUGGUUUCUCAGACAGA